rnacentral:rRNA from 1 species
GAGUACGGCCGCAAGGCUGAAACUUAAAGGAAUUGGCGGGGGAGCACUACAACAGGUGGAGCCUGCGGUUUAAUUGGACUCAACGCCGGAAAACUCACCGGGGGCGACAGCAAUAUGUAGGUCAGGUUAAAGGUCUUACCUGAAUCGCUGAGAGGAGGUGCAUGGCCGUCGUCAGUUCGUACUGUGAAGCAUCCUGUUAAGUCAGGCAACGAGCAAGACCCGUGCCCACUGUUACCAGCAUAUCCUUUAUGGAUGAUGGGGACUCUGUGGGGACCGCUGCUGCUAAAGCAGAGGAAGGUGCGGGCUACGGUAGGUCAGUAUGCCCCGAAUCUCCCGGGCUACACGCGGGCUACAAUGGUUGGGACAAUGGGUAUCUACUCCGAAAGGAGUUGGCAAUCUCUUAAACCCAAUCGUAGUUCGAAUUGAGGGCUGUAACUCGCCCUCAUGAAGCUGGAAUCCGUAGUAAUCGCGUUUCAACAUAGCGCGGUGAAUCUGUCCCUGCUCCUUGCACACACCGCCCGUCAAACCAUCCGAGUGAGGUAUGGGUGAGGGCACGAACUUAGUGUCGUGCUCGAACCUAAAUUUCGCAAGGAGGGUUAAGUCGUAACAAGGUAGCCGUAGGGGAAUCUGCGGCUGGAUCACCUCCU